AGGACGAAGGGCACUGAUUGGAUAGAGAAAGAUCUGAGAGAUCUGCUGCAUGACCCUGAGCCCUCUCUGCACAUUAUCACCUCUCUGGCUCUCUUCCAACUCCAGAAGAUAGGGACUGAACAAGAACCCAGGCAGACUGCAGCUUGAGGAAGCUCAUGGGCUGUCUUCCUACUUAGAAAUGCAAGAGAAAAGCAUCCAUUAAGAAGCAGAGGUCUGGGGUACCUGGCUGGAUCUGUCA
rnacentral:lncRNA from 1 species